AUGCUUUCAGUUAAGACUAAGAACAUUGUUAAGGCUACCGUGCCUGCCCUUGAACAAAAUGGUGUUACCAUCACCAAAACGUUUUAUAAAAACAUGUUAGGUGAACACCCAGAACUUUUGAAUACUUUCAAUAAAGUUAAUCAGCAAAAAGGUAAGCAGCCUGCUGCUUUAGCAAUGACUGUUUUAGCUGCUGCAAAAAACAUCGAUGAUUUAUCGGUCUUAAUGCCAGCGGUUAACCAAAUUGGCCACAAACAUCGUGCUUUGCAGGUUCAACCAGCACAAUAUGAUAUUGUUGGUAAGUACUUGUUGCUAGCUAUUAAGGAGGUGUUAGGAAAUGCUGCUACCCCAGAUAUUAUGACAGCUUGGGCAGAGGCCUACAAAGUAAUUGCAGACAUUUUCAUUUCUGUUGAAAAACAAAUGUAUAAGGAAGCCCAAUGGGACUCCUGGAAGCCAUUUACAGUUACCAAGAAGACUCCAGUUGCUAAGGAUAUUGUUGAGUUUUGUGUGGAACCAGUUGAAGGAUCUGGUAUUGAGCUUUCAAAGCUCAAAAUUAUUCCAGGUCAAUAUUUGACGGUAAAAACCCAUCCAACAACCCACGAUAACAAGUAUGAUGCGCUAAGACAUUACUCCAUUUGUUCUGACUCCACUGAUGGUGGGCUCAAGUUCUCUGUCAAGUACGAACAUGGCAACAUUCAAGAUGGUCUAGUUUCUGAAUAUCUCCAUAAAUACAUCAAAGUUGGUGACACGAUUGAAUUAAGUGCUCCAGCUGGUGAUUUUGAAUUGAAUCAGGAAUUGAUUAAGCAAGAAGAGGUUCCAUUAGUGCUGGUGAGUGCUGGUGUUGGCGCUACGCCAUUAGUUGCUAUGCUUGAGUUCCAGUUAGAGCAUAAUCCUAAGAGACCUGUCUUGUGGAUUCAAUCAUCUUUAAAUGAAGAGUCCCAAGCUUUUAAGGAUCACGUGAAUAGUCUAUUGGGAAAGUUUGACAAUGCUAAGGCUGAAUUAGUAUAUACCAGUACAAUGCCUAGAAUUGAUGGGGCAUACCUUGAAAAGCAUAUUGCAUCACCAUCUGAUGUUUAUAUUUGUGGCUCUAUUGAAUUCAUGUCUAGCCUAAUGGAUGCCUUGAAGCAAUUGGGACAUGAAGAUAAAAUGAUUCAUUAUGAACCAUUUGGUCCAAAGAUGUCUUUGGCCUAG
rnacentral:tRNA from 1 species